rnacentral:misc_RNA from 1 species
UGGAAGAUGAAGAUCAGCAAAGGCAUGCCAAUGUACUGGACGUGGCAGGUUGGGAUAGUUGUAUUUUUGCUCUGGUUCUUGAAAGAUUUCCGGCAUCUUCAAGAAUUCCAUGUGGAGGCCCUGUUCUUGUUAAUCAAGUUCAGUGCAGCCGUCUCUUGUACUAGGACAGUCUAUUUCUAUUCCUGUAUUCAAACUUAAAUUUC